CACGUAGGGGCCAAGCGUUGUCCGGAUUUAUUGGGCGUAAAGAGCUCGUAGGCGGUUCGACAAGUCGGGUGUGAAAACUCCGGGCUCAACCCGGAGACGCCACCCGAUACUGUCGUGACUGGAGUCCGGUAGGGGGAGUGGGGAAUUCCUGGUGUAGCGGUGAAAUGCGCAGAUAUCAGGAGGAACACCGGUGGCGAAGGCGCCACUCUGGGCCGGUACUGACGCUGAGGAGCGAAAGCGUGGGUAGCAAACAGG
rnacentral:rRNA from 1 species